UGUUGUUCUUUUUUUUUUGU
rnacentral:miRNA from 1 species